CGGGACGGGUGAGUAAUGUCUGGGAAACUGCCUGAUGGAGGGGGAUAACUACUGGAAACGGUAGCUAAUACCGCAUAACGUCGCAAGACCAAAGAGGGGGACCUUCGGGCCUCUUGCCAUCGGAUGUGCCCAGAUGGGAUUAGCUAGUAGGUGGGGUAACGGCUCACCUAGGCGACGAUCCCUAGCUGGUCUGAGAGGAUGACCAGCCACACUGGACUGAGACACGGUCCAG
rnacentral:rRNA from 1 species